rnacentral:snRNA from 1 species
GUUCGCUUCAUCAGUACAUAUACUAUAAUUGGAACGAUACAGAGAUUAGAAUGGCCCCUGUGCAAGGAUGACAUGCAAAUUCAUGAAGCGUUUAAAAAAAAA